rnacentral:lncRNA from 1 species
AAAAAUGCAAUCGAGGUCACCGCGGGCUGUCACCACUGUGAUGAGCGCUCCAAAAGCACGGAAAAACCUAACUAUCUAAAACUAAAAAUGAAAAAUUACAGAGUAUUUGUUCAAGUGUCUCGGUCUAAAAAACUUUAUUUACAAGGCAAGAGCCCCUUUUUAUAGGGUUGAAAAGAAAGAAGAAAAAUUGAACAAACAGAAAAGAAAAAAGAAAAAAAAAUGGAAAAGAGAAACUUGCUUGCUACGCUAAGCUUCAUCCUACGUGGCAGCUCCGGUCAUCUUCGUCUUCGUCGGUCAGCUCCUCUUCUUUUACGGGCAGCUCCUUCUUCGUCUC